rnacentral:lncRNA from 1 species
CUAACUCUGUCAAAAUCAAAAUACUUGAGAACUAAAUAUGGUGUAACAUACAAACUUUCUAGUGAUAGCUGGAUACACAGAUAUCAAAACUCAUUUAAAGGAACUAAUAUUUACAACUCUCUUACAUUGUAUUCAUUGGAACAAAGGUUUCACCAUUUUUAUCACAAGCAAGCCAUGGUCCAGGGACGGGCUAACCCUCGGAAAAAGAUCGACAACAUGGACCAAAAUCCUAAUUUCCAGCUAGAAAUGUUCAGAAGAUAUUUUCCACUAAUCUUAUUAACCAAGCAGCUUAACAAAAUCAUCAGGUUUUCAUUAAACAACUCCAAGACAGAAAUACCUUAGGCAGUAAAAGGAGAUGAAAAAAAAAAAUCCAAUGCUGGCAUAUACAAAGAAAAUAUAUCAUUUCUACCAUAGACAGGAGGGCUUUCAUCAUCUGGUUUUAUAUCGACCUCAAAGAAUUCCUCAAGCGGGUUGCGUGCACCCGUAGAAUACGCGGCAGCUGCAGCAACCGAGGCCUCGGAUUUGGCUGCAGCGCCAAAGAGGGCCCUCCCAAACACCCUCGUCAAGAACAUUGGUAUUUCACAAAUCUAAGGACUUUCUGCAGGAAACAAGAAAUCAAAGAACCAAUAAAUAAUCUAAAAUCACAAAAGCACAUAUCUUGACCGCAAUCUGAACAACUGAUAUUGGAUUCAGGAUCAAACUGCACAUAACUCGCCAAUUUAUAGAACUUGUGACAAAUUAUUGUUACUCUAAAUAAAAAUGAUUCAGUGAUUUCGAAUCGAGAAUGCAGGGAAAAAAAAAUUAAACUUAAACCCUACCAAAACCCCUCGAUUCAGUAGCCAAAUAUUUGUGCAGAGCUCAUUACACAUACAUAGAUUCGCAUACCUUAAAGCAACAAGAAUGAGUUUAGCGCAGUGAAGAGCGAGAGGCAUAUCUACUUUGAAGUGUCAAACAAACAAAUUGGGCCCAACCAAUUAUGGUUAACAAACUCAAGCCCAAUAAAACUUUUACUUUUUUGGGCACUUGUAUGUGCAGUUAUUACUGUGAUUCAAGCCCAUUAUUAUACUGCAAUUAAGCUCUAUAAAACCCCAAAAUAUAAAUCAAUAGUUCCAAGGUCAAUUGACCCAUUUAAUGUUAUCAGAAAAUAGUCAUAGUCAUUGGAGUUGAAGGAGAAGAUACAAGACUAUGAUUAAGACCCCAACUAAUCAUUGUAUAAAUAGCGUUUGAAAAAUUUGGUAGAAAGAUAAGGCAUAAGAAGUUUAAGAACAUGCAAUAAUUAAUAGUUGUGCCUUUUAAGACCUUAUAUGGAUAGGAACAUGUAUAUAAGAAGUUAUUUAAAUGUAUUUUUAAGGAUCUUGUAAAUAUUCAUAUUAUGUGAACUCUGAAGUUUUUUUUUUUUUUAAUUAGAGCUUAUAAAAGUUAACAAUUUUGUUGGAAUAGUUUGUUGUUGAAGUGUUAUAAGAUAAUUAUAACAUUUCGUUAUAAAACUAUGAACUAAAAAUUGCCAAAACACAUUGAAAAUAAAUAGAUGUCUCCUUACUUCUUCGCAAAACAGUUCAUAUAUUUAGCGUUCAGUAUCUUACCUUUUAAAUAUUAACCUAUACAGUUCCAGGAAAAAAAAAGUAUGUGCUCCUUUUGGUAAGCCUACAAAUAAUAUCAUAUNAACAUUCAGCCACUUAAAAUUAUGAAAUAGGACAUCUAAGAGCUUGAUUGUGGUUCUCUAUAUAUAUGAAGAAUCCAAAAUUCGUGCCAUGAAACCUGGAACUACCUGGCAUUAGAAUAGUCGCAGCAUGCAUAGAACAGAAGUAAAAAGCCAUGCUAGGGAGAUCCGAUUUCUUCAGUGAAUUCGACCCAAAAAGGAGAAUCGUGUAGGCAUUUCAGCAGAAAAGGUUAUUUCCUAACUACCAUGUUUAUUUAAGUUUUUCCUAACUGAUCUAUGUAGGUAAUUCAUGUUCCUCAGGUUUUUCAGCAGACAAGGUCGACCGUCAUGCAUGUCACGCCCACUGGUAAUACUUCCCCGAAUUCUCAUAAUAUCUACCCAUACUUCUCCAAGUGAAAGAAUUUUAGAUUUUACAAAACCUUAUCGAAAAUCACUAGAAUCGCCAUAAACCUGGCAUCUCAGAUGAAAAUUAGAAGGAUAUAAUGCCUUCAUCAACCAAAAUAACAUGAUAAAAAAUUAUGGAAAGGAGGCUACUCAUGAGAAAUUAAUCAAAUACUUUCCAUGCUAGGGUCAAAAAUUCCAUCAGGGUAGCAAAAAAACAAAACAUGAGCAUGCAUAUUUAUAAACUUGACUUCGAUCGUAGGUUCAGGAAGGGUGGAAUAACAGAGAAAACGGAGUUCAUACUUUGCACGCAAAGAUCCUAUGACGACAGGCAGUCAAGCCAUCAUCUUAGCUUAGAGGAACCAGAUGCAACUUGUACACUGACAAAGAAUAUAGCAUGAAUUGCAAGUAGUCGACUGUGAAUUAAUCACAUAUACAUUUCAUAAUUGAAGUAAGUAGGAAAACUAGCAGUAGAUUUUAAUAGUGAACCAAAGUACACCUUUGAAAUACGCUCGGGACUAGGAAAUCUCAAGUUCUGAGUAUUCAGCAUCUGUCGCUGAGUCAUCAACAUGUUCUUUUCUUUCAAAAGAACAUACCAGAGCUUAUUAAGGUCAUCCCAAGACUUGAGACGCAGUUCGGAAGCCUUCCAACUCCGACCUGAACAAAAAUUUUUUGAAGGCAACUCACUUUGUGCACACGUUUAUUUGUUCAAAUAAUGAAUACUGGUGUGUGUGUGUGAGUUGGCCUAGUGGUAAGAGGUUAAUGCUUAAGACCCGAGGUCCUGGGUUCGAGUCAUCCGCCACGCGGUCUUUAAAUUUCUUUAUUUAUUUAUGUAAUUUAUCAAAAAUAAUAAUAAUGAAUACUGGACUUCUAGAUAACCAAAUAAAGAAACAGUAAUCUUUCUAAAGAAAAUCUCCGUGCAAACAGAGAACGUAUUAUGUCAAAACAUUCUUCACUUUGAGCUAACUCUGUCAAAAUCAAAAUACUUGAGAACUAAAUAUGGUGUAACAUACAAACUUUCUAGUGAUAGCUGGAUACACAGAUAUCAAAACUCAUUUAAAGGAACUAAUAUUUACAACUCUCUUACAUUGUAUUCAUUGGAACAAAGGUUUCACCAUUUUUAUCACAAGCAAGCCAUGGUCCAGGGACGGGCUAACCCUCGGAAAAAGAUCGACAACAU